UAUGUCCGAAAACAGUUGAAUUUUGGGUUUGCAUAUAUUAAAACAUUGGAUUUUUUUGGGUUUGCAUUUAGUUUCGAAUACACGCUAUUUAUCAAAAAGACGCUCUUUAUCAAUUUUUAGAGGAAAGAGGUAUAAGCGACGAGCUUGCUGUUUUCUUGCAUCAGUAUAUGAAGAACAAAGGUAAAGGUGAGUACGUUCGAUGGAUGGAGAGCGCUAAAUCGUAUGUCGAGCAAAAAUAGACACCAGCCUGCAGUACCGUAAUUCGGUUCCAAAGAAUGAAGUGGCCGGUGUGUAUGUUUGAUUGGCAUGUGGUGCAAUUCAUCAACGUCUGCUUGCCAUCUCUAGGAACUUGGAGAGAAGAGGAAAGAAGAUGAAAAGAAAGAGAAAGAAGAAGCUCAACAUAAGGCGUUAAAAGAAGAAGCAGCAACCAUGUCUUACGGCGAGCUAAUGGAGAUGAAAGAGAGACUGGCAAUCAAAAUCAUUACCAGCUUCAAUUUUUUGACAGACGAAAGCAAUGCCUAGUGUGAAACUUAUUAAUACUAAGAAACUAUCAAUAUCAUAAUGAUACGUCGACAUGGGACGUAGACACU